GUUAUACUCCCUCCGUUCGGAAUUACUUGUCACAAAAAUGGAUAUAUCUACAACUAAAAUACAUCUAGAUACAUUCAUUUCUUGGACGAGUAAUUCCGAACGGAGGGAGUACUUG
rnacentral:pre_miRNA from 1 species